rnacentral:tRNA from 1 species
AAGGGUAUAGCUCAAGUGGUAGAGCGCAUGCUCAGAAAACAAGAGGUCCUGGGUUCAAUCCCCAGUACCUCCU